GAUGAACGCUGGCGGCGUGCCUAAUACAUGCAAGUCGAGCGAACAGACGAGGAGCUUGCUCCUCUGACGUUAGCGGCGGACGGGUGAGUAACACGUGGAUAACCUACCUAUAAGACUGGGAUAACUUCGGGAAACCGGAGCUAAUACCGGAUAACAUGUUGAACCGCAUGGUUCAACAGUGAAAGACGGUCUUGCUGUCACUUAUAGAUGGAUCCGCGCCGCAUUAGCUAGUUGGUAAGGUAACGGCUUACCAAGGCAACGAUGCGUAGCCGACCUGAGAGGGUGAUCGGCCACACUGGAACUGAGACACGGUCCAGACUCCUACGGGAGGCAGCAGUAGGGAAUCUUCCGCAAUGGGCGAAAGCCUGACGGAGCAACGCCGCGUGAGCGAAGAAGGUCUUCGGAUCGUAAAACUCUGUUAUUAGGGAAGAACGAAUGUGUAAGUAACUAUGCACGUCUUGACGGUACCUAAUCAGAAAGCCACGGCUAACUACGUG
rnacentral:rRNA from 1 species